UCCGAUAUGGUGUAGUGGCUAACAUUAUCGCCUCUCAUUUCAUGUGCGCGAUAGCCCGGGGUUCGAUUCCCCGUGUCGGAA